UACGUAGGGGCCGAGCGUUGUCCGGAGUUACUGGGCGUAAAGCGCGCGCAGGCGGCUCGCUUUGCCCGGCGUGAAAGCCCCCGGCUCAACCGGGGAGGGUCGUCGGGGACGGGCGAGCUUGAGGCCGGCAGGGGCAGGUGGAAUUCCCGGUGUAGUGGUGAAGUGCGUAGAGAUCGGGAGGAACACCCGUGGCGAAGGCGGCCUGCUGGGCCGGACCUGACGCUGAGGCGCGAAGGCGUGGGGAGCGAACGGG
rnacentral:rRNA from 1 species